GGUGGUGGUGGUGAGAGAUUGCCCUGUACACAGUAGGCAAACUCAUCAGAGAAAUGACUGUGUUAGAAUCUUUCUUCUUGACAUGCUAGUUUUCUACAUGCACUAUCCCUGCAUCUCACUUGUGAAAUGGGCUGUAACAGCUUCUGCUUUCAAUGCAGAAGGUCCUCGGUUCAAUUCUUAGCAUCUUCAGCCUGCAAGUUCUUUGGGGACAAGGGACCAUCUUCUUAAUAUUAUUCUGUCUCUUUCGGAAUAACUUUGAAACCUUUAUUGCUGAGAAGUGGUAUAUAACAGUCAUAGUAUAGUAACCCCAAUCUUUCCAAGGUUGGGGCUAACUGCGUGGCAAGAGUUUUUUCCUCAUGGAGUGAGUUGUUUUGGAAGGCAGACCUGCCCAUGUUCCAUCUGAUGUUCAAUUAUUAUUUCAUUCCAUUAUUAAUGAAAAAUAAAAAGGUUGUAAAACCUA